CUGUUCUAUUCCUCCCCCGAGCCCAGCCUGACCCAAGGACGCCGUCCUCGCCUUACCUGCCGGGCUUUAGACCAGCUGCAUGGACAUGACUCACGUCACAUCUCUAACACGACGGGGGAGUGAGAUCACUGAGACCCCAUUUUACAAAAGAAGAAACUGAAGCACAGAGAAGUCGAGAGACUUGCCCAAGGAUACGCAAUCACAAGUGGAAGAACCAGAUGUGCAAACUCCAGAACAUGAGCCACUACGAAGGGGAAGCCCAGGCGGUUCUGCAUCGAUCUGGUGGGAGGUCCCCCUGGAGCUCCAUGAAUACUUCAAAAGGAGACAUUUCUUAUCAAGUCUUGGGUUACACUGAGGGGCAGUUUAUGAAAAACAAAACAAAACAAACAAAAAAAAAAAACAAGGCAAAUUCUGAAUUUUUACCCCUUCUUUAUUAUUUUCAAAAUAAUAAAUGGGAUACUUUGCAUGCUCCAAA